rnacentral:rRNA from 1 species
GAUGAACGCUGACAGAAUGCUUAACGCAUGCAAGUCGAUGGGGAAGUGGUGCUUGCACCAUGGUAACCAUGGCGGACGGGUGAGUAACGCGUAAGGAACUUGCCUGCGGGACUGGGAUAACAGCAGGAAACUGCUGAUAAUACCGGAUAAGGUCAUUAAGCUGCAUAGCUUAGUGAUGAAAGGAGACGCCUGCGGAGAGCCUUGCGUCCUAUUAGCUAGUUGGAGGGGUAACGGCCCACCAAGGCGAAGAUAGGUAGCCGGCCUGAGAGGGGGGACGGCAACAGGGGGACGGAGAUGCGGCCGUUACUCCUAGGGGAGGAGGAGGGGGGGAAUAUUGGACAAGGGGGGCAACCCUGACCGAGCAAUUCUGGGGGAAGGAGGAUGUUUUUCGGAUUGAAAAGGGUUUUAAGAAGGGAAGAAGGAAGGGAGGGUACCUGAAGAAGAAGCGACGGCUAAAUACGUG